rnacentral:rRNA from 1 species
AUACGGAGGGUGCAAACGUUGUUCGGAAUUACUGGGCGUAAAGCGCGCGUAGGCGGUUUGUUAAGUCAGAUGUGAAAGUCCACAGCUCAACUGUGGAAGUGCAUUUGAAACUGGCAGACUUGAGUACUGGAGGGGGUGGUGGAAUUCCCGGUGUAGAGGUGAAAUUCGUAGAUAUCGGGAGGAAUACCGGUGGCGAAGGCGACCACCUGGCCAGAUACUGACGCUGAGGUGCGAAAGCGUGGGGAGCAAACAGGAUUAGAAACCCGAGUAGUCC